rfam:Ictidomys tridecemlineatus contig031684, whole genome shotgun sequence.
GGGGUUGUGGCUCAGUGGUAGAGCACUCAUCUGGCACAUGCGAGGCCCUGGGUUAGAUCCUUAGAACCACA